CCCUUAGAUGUUCUGGGCCGCACGCGCGCUACACUGACUGGUGCAACAAGUUUACAACCUUGGUCGAUGGGCCUGGGUAAUCUUUGAACGCCAGUCGUGAUGGGGCUAGAUUAUUGCAAUUAUUAAUCUUCAACGAGGAAUUCCUAGUAAACGCAAGUCAUCAGCUUGCAUUGAUUACGUCCCUGCCCUUUGUACACACCGCCCGUCGCACCUACCGAUUGAAUGGUCCGGUGAAACCUCUGGAUCGAGACUCGUUGGGGCAACUCGACUUGUUCACGAGAAGUUGGUUAAACCUUACCAUUUAGAGGAAGGUGAANUCGUAACA
rnacentral:rRNA from 1 species